GUGCACUGUACGACAAGAGACAUUUUAAACUGAAUCUUCAACAACUCAGGUGCUUCUUAUUUAUAGGUAAAAAAAGUUUUGGAAAUUCCGAAAAAGUGCCAUUUGGAUUCUAAGUAAAGUAAAGAGCAAAUUCAAGAUGAUCCAACCUCCUGCUUAUUAGAUCAUCGUUCGGUUCGCACGGUCUGUCAAACGCCUUGAACUCAAAAUUUUAUCACAACUUCUACGACCUUGUCAUCGAGGAACGUGGGGCGACAUUUUGGCGUCAAUGGCGGAGUUCAAUAGGUAGGCCCACCAUCACCGUUUGUCUGUCUACAAGAGUAGGUUGACCCUUCUUUGUUAAACUGGAAUUACCUAGAUUUUUGAACCCUGUUUGAGGGUCCAAGUUCGAUGUACUAUGGUUCUUAACAUCGAACCCUUUUUAAAAUCUUAGUUUAGACCACUACG